rnacentral:rRNA from 1 species
GACGGGGGGUCCUAGCGUUGUUCGGAAUCAUUGGGCGUAAAGCGUGUGCAGGUGGUUCUGUAAGUUAGAUGUGAAAGCCUUGGGCUUAACCCAAGAAGUGCAUUUAAAACUACAAAACUUGAGUAUGGAAGAGGGUCGUGGAAUUCCAGGUGUAGUGGUGAAAUACGUAGAUAUCCGGAGGAACACCGGUGGCGAAGGCGGCUUCCUGGACCGACACUGACGCUGAGGCGCGAAAGCUAGGGGAGCAAACGGG